rnacentral:rRNA from 1 species
CCUACGGGUGGCUGCAGUGGGGAAUAUUGGACAAUGGGCGAAAGCCUGAUCCAGCAAUGCCGCGUGAGUGAUGAAGGCCUUAGGGUUGUAAAGCUCUUUUACCCGGGAUGAUAAUGACAGUACCGGGAGAAUAAGCUCCGGCUAACUCCGUGCCAGCAGCCGCGGUAAUACGGAGGGAGCUAGCGUUGUUCGGAAUUACUGGGCGUAAAGCGCACGUAGGCGGCUUUGUAAGUUAGAGGUGAAAGCCCGGAGCUCAACUCCGGAACUGCCUUUAA